AGGUAAAGUAGAAGGAGCAGAAAGGGUCAGAAAUGAGCUGGAAGGGGCAGAAGGAGCACAAACAUAAAGUAGGAGAAUGAGCAGGAAGGGCCUGCAAGGAGCAGGAAGGAGCACAAAGGGACAGCAAGGAGCACAAAGGUAAAGGAGCAGAAAGAAUCAGAAGGAGCACAAAGGUAAAGUGCCUGGCAGGGAAACGCUGGACCUUCUCAUCUCCAAAGGUAAAAAAAUAUCGGUGUUAAUGUGUUCACUUUUAUUUACUGAGUGUCAGGAAGCACAGAGUGCCAUUGGGUAGGGGUGUUGCUGAUUGGCUAGAGCGGUCAGCUGGCACUCUAAGCCAAUCAGUAGCUCCC